rnacentral:rRNA from 1 species
AGUGAACGCUGGCGGUAGGCCUAACACAUGCAAGUCGAACGGCAGCACAGUAAGAGCUUGCUCUUACGGGUGGCGAGUGGCGGACGGGUGAGGAAUACAUCGGAAUCUACUUUUUCGUGGGGGAUAACGUAGGGAAACUUACGCUAAUACCGCAUACGACCUACGGGUGAAAGCAGGGGAUCUUCGGACCUUGCGCGAUUGAAUGAGCCGAUGUCGGAUUAGCUAGUUGGCGGGGUAAAGGCCCACCAAGGCGACGAUCCGUAGCUGGUCUGAGAGGAUGAUCAGCCACACGGGAACUGAGACACGGUCCAGACUCCUACGGGAGGCAGCAGGGGGGAAUAUUGGACAAGGGGCGCAAGCCUGAUCCAGCCAUACCGCGGGGGUGAAGAAGGCCUGCGGGUUGUAAAGCCCUUUUGUUGGGAAAGAAAAGCAGCAGGUUAAUACCCCGCUGUUCGGACGGUACCCAAAGAAUAAGCACCGGCGAACUUCGG